GAUAGAAUUUUGGAGACUUAUAUUCGUAAUUUACCCGCUCUUCCAUCACCCUUAAUCGAACCGUACUUGAGAGAUGCCAGAUUUUUUCACGUGACUCUUAUUGGUCGGGGGUGUAAAUUGGACCCCACACUUGUAAGCACAUUGGUGGAAAGGUGGAGACCAGAGACUCACACAUUUCAUCUUCCAUGCGGCGAGUGUACUAUCACUCUAGAGGAUGUGUAGUUACAGCUCGGGUUACCAGUGGAUGGGCCGGUAGUGACUUGGUUAGUUUACGCAACUGAUUGGAGAGACGUAUGCGAGCAACUUUUGGAGCGGAUUCCGAAAACCAUUUUUGGAGCCCGAAUAGAUCUGAAUUGGCUAAAAAGAAAUUAUGGUGGAUUAGAUGAGGAUUCGACUGAAGUCCAAAGAGAACAUCAUGCUCGGGCGUACAUCCUUAUGAUUAUCGGGGGGUCUCCUAAUGCCCGAUAAGGCACGAAAUUUCGUCUAUUUAAUAUGGCUUCUCAAACUUGUCGACUUUAGAGAAGCGGGCGAACUCAGUUAGGGGUCAAUCGUGUUGGCGACGUUGUACCGGGAGAUGUGUCAUGCAACCGAACCACAAAAAAUCAAAAUCAGUGGUUGCGUACUUCUACCACAAUCAUGGGCAUAGUACCGACUACCAUUUUUACGUCAUCAAGUGAGCUACCCUUAUACAUUCUCACACGUAACAAGGUGGAACCAUGGGCCGAGUUACGUGGGACUACCUGAUGAGUUUCGAGAUAUGCGACUUUUGUUAGACCAACGAUCGAAAGCAGAGUUAUGUUGUUUUUAAACUUGAAUUAUAUAAUAUUAACGUAGUUAAUUUAAAAAUUAGUAGUAUACAAAUAUCUACAAUUUUUAUUAUUUUAAUAUAGUUUGAAUAGACGUCUUACUCCGAUCCGGCAAUUCAAUAAUACAUCCCGUCAGAAUUGUUGAUCAAUCCCAACAUCUGGCACAUGAAGGUGCCAUGGUAGUGCAUGCUACCGUGGAGAUGCACAGUCGGAUAGAGUGUUGCGACAAUUCGGGUCCAGGCAAUUAAUUUGAGGGGGAGAACAAAUGAGAAUUGAACUACAUUCCAUGUGUAAUAUAUCAACAUCUGGAACAAUAGGUACGAGUUUUCACCUACUCACGAAGCUAUCAUCACUCCUGAGUUAACCUGCUAUCCGGAGUACAUGUCAUGAUUUAGGGUCCAUGUCAAGCCAUAUUUGCUAUGUGAAGGAGCGAGGGGUAGGUAACCGCAUAUGAGAAGGCCAUGACAGACACCUAGGAAUCCAAGGUGAGGAGGCCACGAUAGAGAUGCUGAGGCGAGUCCAUCGUCUACACCUACGUAAGAACCAACACUGAUGGCCGCACCAUCCCCCAGUCAGUAUGACUCGACUUAUUCUGGCUUUGUUUAUGGACCUCCUUCCCCGACAUAUUACACGCUGAUGCCAUCAACAUUUCUGACGAUGACGUAUAGACCAUCUAUGUUUGGGGUACCGACCACGAGUCCGACCGUUAUGCGAUCGGGGUAUGAGACACAAUAUAGUUAUACCCCUACACCGAUGGUGUCGCAAACACCUCCAGGAUCAUUGUUCUACCAAGGUGGAUGGCAGCUCAUGUGGCUCACACGGCCAUGUGGAAUGGUCCAGUUCGUGUGGCCCCUGUACCUUGCUCUAAUUUAUUUGGUUUUUGCUCGUUUUUUGCUCCUUUUGCUCUCAAAUGCUCUCUUAAUUAUAAAAACAUGAAUUUAAAGGAUUAGGAGCAUAAAAUUCACCAUUAACAUCGAAUAAUCACCCAAAAAUGCAUUAAGAAUGAGACUAAAACAUGUUACUUUUAGCACCUAUCAAAUAUCCCCACACUUAAGCGUUUGCUUGUCUUCAAGCAAGAUUCUCUACCCACAUUCAAGUUAACUUCUCUACUUUAUUGUUCUCAUCAAUAAUGUCUUAAGAUAAUUUAUAGAUAAUCAUGCAUUGGAAAUUUACACUAAAAUGACUCUAUACAGCACAAGCAAUCCAAGCAGAGAAUUUUAAGCUUUAAAAACAUUAGGCAUCUCCCCUAUCUCAAAAAUUACUUGAAAUUCAAACUCAACGAGAAAUAGCAUCCUUACUAAGUAUUCACUCAAAGUACAUAAAGUGUUUAAGGUUCAAAUAAUGUGCACUCAACAGUCAAACAAGAAAUGUUAUUACCAUAGGCUUGCUUGAAAAUCAAAUCUCCGUCACUAUAAAUGAGAUGGUACACCAAUCAAGAGGUCUUUACAAGGUUG